GGGGGUGUUUUUAGAUUCGCCCGGUGAGAACGCGGAUAUCGUAAGCGUGCCGCAGGCUCGUCUGCGUAAAAACGGAAAUUAAAAUUAAACGCUAACAAAAACGUAAACAACGGCUACAACACCGUUGCCCUUGCCGCUUAACAUUUCGCGGCUUGUCGUCUCCGCCCGCCGCGCGGCGGAUAAACGGCAUCAGACAGCGUGGCAAACAAACCCUGAUUUACGCGGCGGGGUUUUGUAAAUAAAGCGUAUCGCUCCGUCACGAUUGUGUCGUUUCAAGCGGGACGGGGGACUUAAAAAAACGACUGCGCACGGAGAAGGCGGUGUUUUCGCUCGUCGGUACAGGGGUGCAAGUCCCCUCACCUCCACCA
rnacentral:tmRNA from 1 species